rnacentral:snRNA from 1 species
CAAGGCUCGCUUCGGCGGGUC